rnacentral:lncRNA from 1 species
CAGAUGAAUGGCAGCUCAAGAGAUGAAUUGGUAGGCUCUCCUUGACAAAUUUAAGCAUAGCAUGUGUUUUUAUACUGCAUCCAUUAGGGCAGACAAAUGGAAAAUCCGGAGAUGACUGCUCUGCAAUUUAACAGUCACAGCAUUUGGAGAAGGCUGAUGCCUUCCUCAUCACUGAUGAUGGGUCAGGCUUGGAAAAAACCAGAAAGCCCUCUCAAAACUAAAGCAAUUUGAGCAAACGAGUCUAGCCACACCAUACUGAAAGGUGGUUUACUUUGUGCCGAGCAAGUACAACCAGCGCUGAUUCUUUGUCUCCAGGUCAUGGGGACGACCCAGGUGACUUCAGCCUAGAAGAUGCCCUGUAUGACCUCAGCACCAAACGACCCACUCCCAAGGGCCCCAGAAAGCCGGCAGGUGGGACAGGCUUUGAUCUGGCUGAUUACUUUGACACCCCUCUGGAGACUACCACCAAACCAGCCAAGCCGACUGCGAAGCCCUUCCCCAGGCCAGGGAAGCCAGACAACAGCUUUUGGGAUGUCAUCCGCACAACCAAGCAGCCAAAAACUACAAGGGCCCCCCCCAAGCAUAACCCAGCAA